CCAUCCCUUCUGUGUAACACAAAUCUGAUGCAAACCAAAAUAUUUUCAGUUAUAGGAUAGUCCUGUGUGGAUGGGAGAGAUUUUUCUGGAUGGGAUGAGGAGGUUCAAUUCCCAUCAAUCAUCCUGCAGAAGGAAGUGGGGGAAGAUGUAAUAGGCAUGACACCCAAGAGAACCUGAAUCAAAUUCUGCCUCUGGAAUUUACUAUCGCCAUGACCAUGGGUAGGUAUUUUGGCUUCCUUGAAUCUCAGUGUCUUCGACUGUAAAAGAAGGACUCAGACAGGACUCCUGGACUCUUAACCCUUUUGUGUGUGUUGUGAAUCUCUCUGGAACUUCAAUGAAGCCUCCUGGUGAAACCCUUCUCAGAAUCAGGAGGACCAAAAUGACAUCACUAUGCUGGGGUCGGUGUAUCACACGUCCAACUGGAGCUGAUCAACCAGUAUGAGCUUGGCAGUGUCAUCGUGUAUUUUCAUAUUUUACAAAAUACAUGAAGGAACUUUGAUUUGAUCAAUGAAGGAACUGCUAUUGUGGGAAUUCUUUC